rnacentral:rRNA from 3 species
GUCCUUUUGUUUUUAUAUUUAAGGUCUAACCUGCCCACUGAAUUUAUAUUUUUAAAUGGCCGCAGUAUUUUGACUGUGCAAAGGUAGCAUAAUCAUUAGUUUUUUAAUUAAAAGCUUGUAUGAAAGGUUGGACGAGGUAAAAUCUGUCUCUAUUUAAAUUAUAGUAGAAUUUAACUUUUAAGUUAAAAGGCUUAAAUAUUAUUAAAAGACGAGAAGACCCUAUAGAUCUUUAUAAUUUAUUAAGUAAAAUUAUUUUAGAAAUUUUAAUGUUUUAUUUAUUUAAAUUAUUUUAUUGGGGUAAUAAAAAGAUUGAAUUAAUUCUUUUUUUUGAUAAACAUUAAUUUAUGAAUAUUAAUGAUCCAGUUUUACUGAUUAUAAGAUUAAGUUACCUUAGGGAUAACAGCGUAAUUUUUUUAGAGAGUUCAUAUCGAUAAAAAAGUUUGCGACCUCGAUGUUGGAUUAAAGAUUAUUUUAGGUGUAGAAGCUUGAUAAUUUUGGUCUGUUCGACCAUUAAAUCUUUAC